GCCACCUCCGGGAGCGCGCGGGGCCCGGCAUCGCCAGACUCGCCGCGAGGCUGCAGGACGCGCCCGGGGGACCCCCAGCCUCCAGGUGCUGUUUCAAGCCUCCACAAACACUCGGUGAAGGCUCGUGGAUCCUGUGAGAAGAGAAUGAUUGUUGCCACCAAGGCUGUGUUCCAGCUGAAGAAACCGGGGCCUCAUUCCUUACUGGAGCAACUUAGCAAAGUCACAUCACUGCCUUUAAUUUUCUUCUUGGAACCGAGGACCAUCCUUACUUAGAGCAACAAAAGGUCCCUGGGACGGUGAGGUUUUAGGUGCUGGAGAAACGGCACAGGAAAAUCUCCUGCCCUCGGGACGCUUAUAUUCUCGGGAUGAUGUUCUUCUCGGGUGCUGACUCUCCCCCAUGAUUUCCUGCUUGCCAUUCGCCUCUCGAGAUCUUUUCCCUAAAGACAAUGAACCACCUGAACCAUGUCCACCAAAUAAGCAGAAAUACCCAGUGUAGCACUAGGGCCUCCGCGCUACAUUCCGAAUGACAUGUCCACAUUUGCCACGGACAGGAAUGACAGAGGGAGAAAAAUCAUCUUUGACCCUUGAAAGUCGGUCAUGUUUUACGAGUGUGAAGAGCUGCAUUCCCUCGUGCCCUGGACAACUGGCUACGCCGAUGACAGGAGGCCCUUCAGCUGCCCCCCAGGAAAGAGGUUCCUUCUGAGGGCGCUCCGAGCAGAGGGCAUGUGCGAUGGGUCACCACGCCUGCGCUCACAGGGCUUGGGUGACAUAGGACUCGGCGGAUAACUUUGAAAACCCCAGGGACGGACACAGGACAGAUGCUCAAAAAACGUUCGGUGACACCGAAAAUAUAACCGCGUGCCGUCUUCAUCUCCUCCCAUGGAACCCCGUCUGCUGCGGGUCGUCUGCGUAUAUAAAUACGGUCUAGGCCCUCGAUCUGAGCCAGUUCAUUUGUGAAAGACAUGAAGUCGCCAAGCUGAUAGAGGAAUAGCAGCUCCGUGCAAAGUGGGGACGGUUCUGGAAGGAGAUUCAGACAUUACGCAGGGAAGCUAAUGCCGUGCGUUCACUCUGCGGUGUCUGUGGAGACCCGCAGAAGGAAUGGAAGAGGGGAAGGGGGCAGAGCCUCCCGGGAAGAGCUGUGUCCCGGCCGCUGGGGCCUCGGUGUAGUAAGGGAAGUACUUACUAAUUACGGGUGGGGACGAGGAAAACAUGAUGGGACUCGUUGAGCCUUGUCGAGGCCACACCCGGUGUAGUCAACGACUUCUGAGCCCGGAGAACGUAAAGGAACGCAGUGGAGCUUGGACCUAGGGCGUCAGGAUGCCAGUGCCACCGGGCUCCUCAAGUGUGGCCCGAUCAGUCAUCUUCCAGGAAACACACGCCCCACGUGGCCGGGCUGGUCCUGGAAAGGACUCUGUCCUGCAGACACUAACCAUUCUGCUGAAAGAACAGACCGCCGGCCUGACCCGCUUCCUUCCCCUGAAACAGAGGGACCCGUACACUGGCUUCCGCGAGCGCCGUGUCAGCAGGCAUCAGAGGGAAGACGUUUUCUGCCAAGAUCAAAUUGAACUCCCACAGGCAUGCACUUUUUAAAAUACAUUUUCUAGGCGCCUGAAAUGUAAAUGCAUG